GACGUAGGGCGCGAGCGUUGUCCGGAUUUAUUGGGCGUAAAGCGUGCGUAGACGGUUAUUUAAGUCGGAUGUGAAAGCCCCGGGCUCAACCUGGGAAUUGCAUUCGAGACUGAAUAGCUAGGGUGCGGUAGAGGGAAGCGGAAUUUCCGGUGUAGCGGUGAAAUGCGUAGAUAUCGGAAGGAACAUCAGUGGCGAAAGCGGCUUCCUGGACCAGCACCGACGUUCAGGCACGAAAGCGUGGGGAGCAAACAGG
rnacentral:rRNA from 1 species